GGUGAACUCAGCCUUCUGCUUGGCGAAAGCGUGAGAAAGACGGAGAACAAACGUUCAGCAGUGAUGGCAGCACCAUCGACAGACGGGUUUUGCCUGGAAAGCAGUGAAGGAGCUGAAUCUCCAAUCUGGGUUAUAAGAUCAUCAUCAUCACCUUCAGCUGCCCAUCUGACUGUAGCUAUUACAGGAAAGUAAUCGAUUGUAAGGAUGGAAGUUGGUUGGAAUGAUGUGAGGAAGGG